rnacentral:rRNA from 1 species
GACGAACGCUGGCGGCGUGCUUAACACAUGCAAGUCGAGCGGAAAGGCCCUGCUUUUGUGGGGUGCUCGAGUGGCGAACGGGUGAGUAACACGUGAGUAACCUGCCCUUGACUUUGGGAUAACUUCAGGAAACUGGGGCUAAUACCGGAUAGGAGCUCCUGCUGCAUGGUGGGGGUUGGAAAGUUUCGGCGGUUGGGGAUGGACUCGCGGCUUAUCAGCUUGUUGGUGGGGUAGUGGCUUACCAAGGCUUUGACGGGUAGCCGGCCUGAGAGGGUGACCGGCCACAUUGGGACUGAGAUACGGCCCAGACUCCUACGGGAGGCAGCAGUGGGGAAUAUUGCACAAUGGGCAGAAGCCUGAUGCAGCAACGCCGCGUGCGGGAUGACGGCCUUCGGGUUGUAAACCGCUUUCGCCUGUGACGAAGCGUGAGUGACGGUAAUGGGUAAAGAAGCACCGGCUAACUACGUG